GUGACGAGCGGCGGACGGGUGCGUAACGCGUGAGAAUCUACCCUUUAGUGGGGGACAACUCGGGGAAACUCGGGCUAAUACCGCAUAUGUCCUAAGGGAUAAAGCAGGGGACCUUCGGGCCUUGCGCUAAAAGAUGAGCUCGCGUGAGAUUAGCUUGUUGGUGAGGUAAAGGCUCACCAAGGCAACGAUCUCUAGCUGGUCUGAGAGGAUGAUCAGCCACACUGGGACUGAGACACGGCCCAGACUCCUACGGGAGGCAGCAGUGGGGAAUAUUGGACAAUGGGGGCAACCCUGAUCCAGCUAUUCCGCGUGUGUGAAGAAGGCCUGCGGGUUGUAAAGCACUUUCAGUAGCCAAGAUGGGACUAUUUAUUAAUAAUGUAUAGUCUUGACAUUAACUACAGAAGAAGCACCGGCUAACUCCGUGCCAGCUGCCGCGGUAAUACGGAGGGUGCAAGCGUUAAUCGGAAUUACUGGGCGUGAAGAGUACGUAGGCGGCUUUACAAGUCGGGUGUGAAAGCCCUGAGCUUAACUCAGGAACUGCAUUCGAUACUGUAUCGCUAGAGUUUAUUAGAGGAUAGCGGAAUUCCAGGUGUAGCGGUGAAAUGCGUAGAUAUCUGGAGGAACACCAAUGGCGAAGGCAGCUAUCUGGGAUACAACUGACGCUGAGGUACGAAAGCGUGGGGAGCAA
rnacentral:rRNA from 1 species